CGCAAGGGUUUCUUCCAAGUAAAAAUCCCCAAAUCCAUAUCAAUUGGCGGCACAAUCCAAUAGGCCAUCACCACUCUUCUCACGCCUCCAUUGCCGUCAACCGCAUCCAAAGCGUUUUCUACUUACUGCUUAUCUGAGAAAUUUUAGUAGAGAUAUACAUGCUGGAUAGGAGUUGGAUGCAACUUUGUAACAUAUUAAGUGAUCAAUAUUUAGAUGGUGUUAAUUCAGGAGGCAGAAAAACAAUGUCUGGAUGAAAACAACGAGGUUCAGUGUCCAUGUCGAAAUUAUCAAAAUGCACUCUUAGUCUCUAUGGUAGAAUCUCAUUUAUAUCAUCCCGAAGUCUCUGCAAGUUAUGAGAGAUGGAUUUUUCAUGGGGUGGAACUUGAGAAUGAUACGGAGGAUGUUGAAAGAAAUACAUCUAAAUUGGAUGAAGCAAAAAAUGAUGAUGAGAUGAUGAUGAUAUGUUAGAAGAUUUAUGUGCUACUAAGUCAUCUGAAGCUGACCAAACUCGAGAGGGGGAAGCAUAUGACAAAAAUCAUAAUUUCUCACAAAUGAUGAUGCGACAAAUUUUGUGUGUUGCGAAAUAAAUUUAAUUACAAACAUCACUUGUUAUAUGAUAAAUUGUAUUUUAAAUUUUGAAUAUCUUAAAAUAAAUUAUGCAAUAUAUCAAAUGCAUUGUAAAUCA